rnacentral:tRNA from 1 species
AUCUAAAUAGCUUAUAAAGAGCAUGAUAUUGAAGAUAUCAAGGUAAUUAAAAAUUUUUAGAUA